rnacentral:lncRNA from 1 species
CAUAUUUGGUAAUUAAUAUACUUUUGCCAAUUUGCAGUGACACUGAGAAGCAAAGGUGCAGCAUUUAGAGGCUUUAUGCUGGAGGCUCGGAAUAGCUGGGGGAGCAUUGUUGGUAAAUUUCUCAUCCUAGAACCAACACAAACCCGGCUUUUAAAUUGUAAUGGUUCAACGGUAAGUGCAUUGGUUAAAGUGUUUGUGUUUAAUUAAUUUGGAGAAAGUACUUCCCUAUGUGACCUUGUUACAGGGCUCAGCAGUCAGUCAUAGAAAUAAUAACCGGAAAAAUGAGAUUAGAGUCAAUUGGACGUCUGAAACUGAAGAUCUUGACGGCAUUGUCUUACGGGCCACAUUUGUCCAGACAUUUAAAAUAUUUUGGAAUCCAGUCAAUUUCUCCAUAACUUUACUCAAACCAAGUACCACAACAGCUACGACAAUGAUCUCCACAAGUAUGUAUAUAUUAUCAAAUUCUGUCAUAACCUAUAAACAAUAAUAUGCUAGAUAUCUAAUUGUAUUUAUGUUUCCAAACCCACAAUUACAGCUUCUGUCAGCAACAUCACAAACAAAAAAGACAUCAUGCAUAUUGACAAGGUAAGGACAGAAAUCAAGUCAAAUGCAUUUAGUAUUUUAUAGUAUUUUCCAUUAUCUGAAACAUGGGAGGUCAUUUGGGUUGUGGCAACACCCAGGUAGUCAUAGACUGCAAUGAGAGACAAUUCCAUAUUAGAAUAUAAUAAGUAUUUUGAGGA